AGAGUUUGAUCCUGGCUCAGGAUGAACGCUGGCGGCGUGCCUAACACAUGCAAGUCGAACGGGUGUGGUAUCAGGGAAAAGGGGUUUACUUCUUUGACCAGAUAACACACUAGUGGCGGACGGGUGAGUAACGCGUGGAUAACCUGCCUUAUACAGGGGGAUAACAGGGAGAAAUUCUUGCUAAUACCCCAUAGGUAUGUCUGACGCAUGUUGGACAUAUUAAAGCUUUGGCGGUAUAAGAUGGGUCCGCGUCUGAUUAGCUAGUUGGUGGGGUAAAGGCCCACCAAGGCGACGAUCAGUAGCCGGCUUGAGAGAGUGGACGGCCACAUUGGGACUGAGACACGGCCCAAACUCCUACGGGAGGCAGCAGUGGGGAAUAUUGCACAAUGGGGGAAACCCUGAUGCAGCGACGCCGCGUGAAGGAAGAAGGUCUUCGGAUCGUAAACUUCUAUCAGCAGGGAAGAAGGAAGUGACAGUACCUGAGUAAGAAGCCCCGGCUAACUACGUGCCAGCAGCCGCGGUAAUACGUAGGGGGCGAGCGUUAUCCGGAAUUACUGGGUGUAAA
rnacentral:rRNA from 1 species